UUAGAGUUUGAUCCUGGCUCACGACGAACGUUGGUGGCGCGCCUAACACAUGCAAGUCGAACGAGCGAGAGAGAGCUUGCUUUCUCGAGCGACUGGCGAACGGGUGAGUAACGCGUGAGGAACCUGCCUCAAAGAGGGGGACAACAGUUGGAAACGACUGCUAAUACCGCAUAAGCCCACAGCUCGGCAUCGAGCAGAGGGAAAAGGAGCAAUCCGCUUUGAGAUGGCCUCGCGUCCGAUUAGCUGGUUGGUGAGGUAACGGCCCACCAAGGCGACGAUCGGUAGCCGGACUGAGAGGUUGAACGGCCACAUUGGGACUGAGACACGGCCCAUACUCCUACGGGAGGCAGCAGUGGGGAAUAUUGCACAAUGGGGGAAACCCUGAUGCAGCGACGCCGCGUGGAGGAAGAAGGUCUUCGGAUUGUAAACUCCUGUUGUUGAGGAAGAUAAUGACGGUACUCAACAAGGAAGUGACGGCUAACUACGUGCCAGCAGCCGCGGUAAAACGUAGGUCACAAGCGUUGUCCGGAAUUACUGGGUGUAAAGGGAGCGCAGGCGGGAAGACAAGUUGGAAGUGAAAUCUAUGGGCUCAACCCAUAAACUGCUUUCAAAACUGUUUUUCUUGAGUAGUGCAGAGGUAGGCGGAAUUCCCGGUGUAGCGGUGGAAUGCGUAGAUAUCGGGAGGAACACCAGUGGCGAAGGCGGCCUACUGGGCACCAACUGACGCUGAGGCUCGAAAGUGUGGGUAGCAACAGGAUUAGAUACCCUGGUAGUCCACACCGUAAACGAUGAUUACUAGGUGUUGGAGGAUUGACCCCUUCAGUGCCGCAGUUAACACAAUAAGUAAUCCACCUGGGGAGUACGACCGCAAGGUUGAAACUCAAAGGAAUUGACGGGGGCCCGCACAAGCAGUGGAGUAUGUGGUUUAAUUCGACGCAACGCGAAGAACCUUACCAAGUCUUGACAUCCCUUGACGAACAUAGAAAUAUGUUUUCUCUUCGGAGCAAGGAGACAGGUGGUGCAUGGUUGUCGUCAGCUCGUGUCGUGAGAUGUUGGGUUAAGUCCCGCAACGAGCGCAACCCUUACUGUCAGUUACUACGCAAGAGGACUCUGGCAGGACUGCCGUUGACAAAACGGAGGAAGGUGGGGAUGACGUCAAAUCAUCAUGCCCUUUAUGACUUGGGCUACACACGUACUACAAUGGCGUUAAACAAAGAGAAGCAAGACCGCGAGGUGGAGCAAAACUCAGAAACAACGUCCCAGUUCGGACUGCAGGCUGCAACUCGCCUGCACGAAGUCGGAAUUGCUAGUAAUCGUGGAUCAGCAUGCCACGGUGAAUACGUUCCCGGGCCCCUUGUACAACACCGCCC
rnacentral:rRNA from 1 species